GACUUUGAACCUUGAGAAAGUGUCAGUGUACUAACCAGAUGUCCAUGUGGUCUGAUCCUACUCACAGGUUCUUUAUAGAAUUUCUCUAGGUGCCAGCCUAAUGCCUGAUCUUUGUUCUCCUGUCUUCCUACCUACUUUGUGAGCGACCUGAUGAGAUGGGAGGAGAAUUUGAUGUGAGAUUGAAGACACUGGAAAGAAAGUAAAGUAAUAAACCAGAAAAUCUAAAUCUACCCUGAGUAAGAAUGCAUGUGAAGGCAGGGACAGGCAAAGGAGGAAAAUGAGAGGAUCAGAUGCUGGGACUCCAUUGAGGACACAGAACAGACAAGGAACUGAUCAUAAAGAAAUUCCCUGACCUAACUUGCCUAAUAGGAGAUUCCUACCCUACACCUAGAAGGAACACUAUACAGAGAGGCUUAGAAGAAUCUGAGCAGAUAGUAUCACCCUUGUGAAACCUAAGGCCAGUUUUUGAGGCAUCUUCCAGGCCCUGCAUUCUGGUGGACGGGCUGACCCACCCAGAUUGGUGGCCCAUACC